rnacentral:rRNA from 1 species
UACGUAGGGGGCAAGCGUUGUCCGGAAUCAUUGGGCGUAAAGAGCGUGUAGGCGGCCUGGAAAGUCUGGUGUGAAAUCUUUCGGCUCAACCGGAAGCGGUCACUGGAUACUGUCAGGCUUGAGUCCGGAAGAGGAGUGUGGAAUUCCUGGUGUAGCGGUGGAAUGCGCAGAUAUCAGGAGGAACACCAAUGGCGAAGGCAGCACUCUGGUACGUGACUGACGCUGAGACGCGAAAGCGUGGGAGCAAACAGG